UGGAUCGGUGUAAAUUACAAUUGUAGGAUAGAAUUAGAAUUAGAGUGAGAGAGAGAUGAUGAAGCAGAAAGGUAUAGAAGAAGAAGUGGAAUUGGCAAAAGAGAGAUGCAAGGGCGUGAUAGAUAGGAUAGAGAGAUUGGGCGUGAGCCAGUCAUGCAGGCACACUCUCCUCAGACUCGCCCUUUCUGACCUCAAUUUUCUCACCCGUUCAUCAUCCACUUCCAGUUUGAAUAUUGGGCACCUUGAGGCAAUAGUUCACAUUCUCCAACAGCCUUUUAUAACUGGAGUUUCUCGAGUUUGCAAACCCAUUUCCUCACCUGUCCAUCAUCUUGAUAUUGUUUGUACUCUCAACAGGAACCCUGUUUGGAUUAUUGUAUCCGAUAGAAACCCUACCUACAUUUCCUGGGAUUCAUCCCCUAAGAAAAAAACUAAGGGCUUGAAAUUUCGACUUCAACAACUCCUUACUUUAGCCCGCUCUUCAACAACUUUGAAACCUUCCUCUAUCAUUCUUUUCUUCUCCAAUGGACUCCACUGUAACACCUUUAUUAGAGAAAAACUUUGGGAAGAAUUCGGGGCGUAUGAGAUUGAAUUGGACUUUUCUGUUUUUGAUUUUGAUUCUGAUUUCUACUUCUCUGAUGAUUCCGAUGGUGAGUGGGUAAAUGUAAAUGUGCUUGGAAAAUCGUAUAGAGGGGCAUGUGUGCUUGAAAUAAAGGUUGCUGGUGAUGAUGAUGAUGAUGAUGAUGAUAUUACUGUUUUAAGUGCUGUCAAAGGCUCAACAACUGUUGCUUCAGUUGUGCCAAAGCUUUCGGAACUUGCGGCUGAUACUUUCUGUUCACUCAUUUCGGGCCUCAAAGUCUUCCCUUCACAUGUGAAAAAAAAGCAGGAAAUGAGGGGUUUGUUAGCCGAAGGUGAUCUUGUUAACUUUGACACGACAGCUUUGAUUGCUCUUGUAUCAGGGAUCAGUAAUGGUUGUACUCAGAAACUUCUGGCUACUCCAGAGAGUGAAUUGAGGCAGCGGUUUAAGGGAAACUAUGCGUUUGUGAUUGGACAGGUGAUGUCUGAAAUCCAAAAUCCAAUUCAUGUGGAAUUGGGCAGUAUAAUAUCUGGCAAGCUAGGCAUAAUAUGUGAAAGUGUUCAUUCAGAGUUCAAGGAGUUAGUACUAAUGUGUGGAGGGCCUAAUGAGAAAUUCAGAGCUGAUCAAUUGCUGAAGCACCUGACUAAGUUUCUUAGGUGACUAAACCCUGAGAUUGAACCUGAGUUCUCUCCCCCGUGAGCUGGGAAUACCACUUGGGUCACGAGGGCUUGUGGUUUGGUUGUGGCUGAUAGUCCUUCCCAACGUGUGAUGGGCCUCCCAACUACCAGAAAGUUGGCAUUGAAGAACAAGGUUGUUUUUGGCACUGGUGAUUACUGGCAUGCUCCAACUGUAACAGCAAAUAUGGCAUUUGUCAGAGCAAUUUCACAGACUGGAAUGUCCCUGUUUACUAUUGAGCAUAGACCACGGGCUUUAACUGGUGAUUAGUCAUAGUAACUAAGUGUUGAGAGUCUUGAGACUUGCCUAAUAAACAGCCUUGUAGGUAACAGCAUCUCAGAGUUAGUUGGACAGAAUUGAUAUAUGUACAUUAACUAAUACCAAGUUGAACAUUUGUACAGAGUUGAUCCGCGCUAACGGUUAGCUGCUUGGCUGCUUCAAUUAAUAUUUUCACACAUGUCAAUGAAGAACGACUUGUUAUUGCUACUAAAAUAAUUGCAUGUCUGGGGGACCAAGUAAUGGUCGUUUUGCUACAUUAAUUUUAUUGAAAUCAUCUCUUUUUU